rnacentral:lncRNA from 1 species
UCUAAAGAAAUAAUAAAAAUAAAAUCUCUAAUAUAAUCCUAAGUAAAUUCUUAAUUGAACUUUAAUCAAAUUCUAUAUCAAAUCCUAAUAAAACCUAAUAAAAACCUAAAUCCUAGAAAAAUCCUAGAUAAAUCUUAAUCAACUCUUAAUCAAAUUUUAAACCAAAUUCCAAAAAAACCCUAAUCUUAACCAAAUCCUAAGCCUUAACUAAACCAUAUAGAAAUCCUAAACCAAAUCUUAUCACAAAUUGGAAUUUUAACAACUAAUGAUUAAAUUAUUGAAAUCAAUUCAAAAUUUUCUUAAUUCUUAAUAUCUUAAUUAAAAAAAAU